rnacentral:rRNA from 1 species
GAUGAACGCUGGCGGCGUGCCUAAUACAUGCAAGUCGAGCGAACAGACGAGGAGCUUGCUCCUCUGACGUUAGCGGCGGACGGGUGAGUAACACGUGGAUAACCUACCUAUAAGACUGGGAUAACUUCGGGAAACCGGAGCUAAUACCGGAUAAUAUAUUGAACCGCAUGGUUCAAUAGUGAAAGACGGUUUUGCUGUCACUUAUAGAUGGAUCCGCGCCGCAUUAGCUAGUUGGUAAGGUAACGGCUUACCAAGGCAACGAUGCGUAGCCGACCUGAGAGGGGAAUCGGCCACACUGGAACGGAGACCGGGUCCAGCCUCCAACGGGAGGCAGCGGUAGGGAAUCUUCCGCAAGGGGCGAAAGCCUGACGGAGCAACGCGGCGUGGUGGAUGAAGUUCUUCGGAUCGUAAACCUCGGUUAUUAGGGAAGAACAAAUGUGUAAGUAACUAGGCACGUCUGGACGGUACCUAAUCAGAAAGCCACGCCUAACUACGA